rnacentral:rRNA from 1 species
ACUAGUAUCUACCUCUAGUGGGGGAUAGCUUCGGGAAACUGAAGGUAAUACCGCAUGUGGUGGGCCGACAUAUGUUGGUUCACUAAAGCCGUAAGGCGCUUGGUGAGGGGCUUGCGUCCGAUUAGCUAGUUGGUGGGGUAAUGGCCUACCAAGGCUUCGAUCGGUAGCUGGUCUGAGAGGAUGAUCAGCCACACUGGGACUGAGACACGGCCCAGACUCCUUACSGGAGGCAGCAGCAAGGAAUCUUGGGCAAUGGGCGAAAGCCUGACCCAGCAACGCCGCGUGAGGGAUGAAGGCUUUCGGGUUGUAAACCUCUUUUCAUAGGGAAGAAUAAUGACGGUACCUGUGGAAUAAGCUUCGGCUAACUACGUGCCAGCAGCCGCGGUAAUACGUAGGAAGCAAGCGUUAUCCGGAUUUAUUGGGCGUAAAGUGAGCGUAGGUGGUCUUUCAAGUUGGAUGUGAAAUUUCCCGGCUUAACCGGGACGAGUCAUUCAAUACUGUUGGACUAGAGUACAGCAGGAGAAAACGGAAUUCCCGGUGUAGUGGUAAAAUGCGUAGAUAUCGGGAGGAACACCAGAGGCGAAGGCGGUUUUCUAGGUUGUCACUGACACUGAGGCUCGAAAGCGUGGGGAGCGAACAGAAUUAGAUACUCUGGUAGUCCACGCCUUAAACUAUGGACACUAGGUAUAGGGAGUAUCGACCCUCUCUGUGCCGAAGCUAACGCUUUAAGUGUCCCGCCUGGGGAGUACGGUCGCAAGGCUAAAACUCAAAGGAAUUGACGGGGGCCCGCACAAGCAGCGGAGCGUGUGGUUUAAUUCGAUGCUACACGAGGAACCUUACCAAGAUUUGACAUGCAUGUAGUAGUGAACUGAAAGGGGAACGACCUGUUAAGUCAGGAACUUGCACAGGUGCUGCAUGGCUGUCGUCAGUUCGUGCCGUGAGGUGUUUGGUUAAGUCCUGCAACGAGCGCAACCCUUGUUGCUAGUUAAAUUUUCUAGCGAGACUGCCCCGCGAAACGGGGAGGAAGGUGGGGAUGACGUCAAGUCAGCAUGGCCUUUAUAUCUUGGGAUACACACACGCUACAAUGGACAGAACAAUAGGUUGCAACAGUGCGAACUGGAGCUAAUCCCCAAAGCUGUCCUCAGUUCGGAUUGCAGGCUGAAACCACGCAUGCAGAU